UUGGACACAGCACACAUACAAAAUAUUUGCGCUCGCUCCCCAACACUCAUCUCUUGCAAGCCAUGGCCUCUGCAACUCUCCCACUCCCUCUCCGGUCACACCUCACUCGCCUCAAACCCCCUAUCAGCCACGCGCCAAGAGCCCUCGCCUGUCACGUCAAACUCUCCCACAGCCACUCCAACCCUUUCCCGCCAUUUUCACUUCUUCGAAGCAGAUCAAAAGGCGUCGUGAGGCCCCCUUCUGCCUACGUAUCGGGUCCUGCUUCCGACCCGAUAAUCACCGAGCCGGACCCCAAGGUGGAGAGUUCGAACGAUGCUCAUGAUGAAACUGUUGAGCCGCCGAGUGCGAUCAGUUCGAGUCUCUUGUGGAGUCUCCUGAUGCGGUACAAGCUGAGACUCGCUGUUUCGGCCGUCACUCUCAUUGGUUGCUCCGCUUGUACUCUCUCAAUGCCUCUAUUUUCAGGGAGAUUUUUUGAAGUACUUAUAGGCACUAGACCAGAACCUCUGUGGAGACUGCUUAGUACUGUUGGAGUGCUGUAUACAUUGGAGCCAGUUUUAACUAUUAUUUAUGUUGUAAACAUGAAUACUAUUUGGGAGAAGGUUAUGUCAACCUUACGCGCUCAGAUUUUUAGAAGACUAUUGAUUCAGAAGGUGGAGUUUUUUGACCGAUACAAGGUUGGCGAACUCACUGCUUUGUUAACAUCUGACUUGGGUUCUCUUAAAGAUAUUGUGAGUGAAAACAUUUCAAGGGAUCGUGGAUUCAGGGCACUUUCUGAGGUCAUUGGCACAAUAUGCAUCCUGUUCACUUUAGCCCCCCAACUUGCACCAAUUUUGGGCAUACUGAUGCUUACUGUAUCUGUUUUAGUUGCUGUAUACAAGCGGUCAACUGUGCCUGUUUUUAAAGCUCAUGGAUUGGCCCAAGCUUCCAUAUCAGAUUGUGCAACAGAAACAUUUUCUGCAAUUCGUACUGUAAGAUCCUUUAGUGGCGAAAAGCGUCAAAUGUCUAUGUUUGGUAGUCAGGUUAUGGCUUUUCAGAGUAGUGGUAUAAAGCUUGGGACCUUCAAAUCUCUUAAUGAAUCACUGACUAGAGUUGCCGUCUAUAUUUCUUUGAUGUCCUUGUAUUGUCUUGGUGGAAGCAAAGUAAAAGCGGGUGAACUCUCUGUUGGAACCAUUGCUUCUUUUAUUGGAUACACUUUCACAUUAACUUUUGCUGUUCAAGGGCUGGUUAAUACAUUUGGAGAUCUUCGUGGAAGUCUUGCUGCUGUUGAGAGGAUUAAUUCUGUGUUUUCUGGGGGACAAAUUGAUGAGGCCCUUGCCUAUGGUUUAGAAAGAGACAUCCGGAGAAAAGAAGUGGAUGAUGAAAAACUUGGAUUAUUCUUUGUCAAUGGUUUUGAAGAAAAAAACAUAUUUCCAAAUAUUCAUUACAUGUCAGCCUUGAGAUCAGCUAGCAAUGUGCAUAGCCUAGCUUGGUCUGGUGAUGUUUGUCUUGAAGAUGUGCAUUUUUCUUACCCUUUGAGGCCUGAUGUGGAAAUCCUAAAUGGUCUUAAUCUAAGGCUAAAAUGUGGAACUGUAACUGCUCUAGUUGGCUCAAGUGGUGCUGGGAAAAGUACAAUAGUACAGCUAUUGGCACGUUUUUAUGAGCCAAGCAGGGGCUGCAUAACAGUUUCCGGAGAGGAUGUUCGAACAUUUGACAAGAGCGAAUGGGCUCGGGUUGUCUCUAUAGUAAACCAAGAACCUGUUCUAUUCUCGGUGUCUGUUGGAGAAAAUAUUGCCUAUGGGCUUCCAGACAAUAAUGUAUCCAAGGAUGAUGUGAUAAAGGCAGCCAAAGCUGCUAAUGCUCAUGAUUUCAUAAUUUCUCUUCCUCAGGGUUAUGACACUCUAGUUGGUGAGCGUGGAGGUCUACUGAGUGGAGGACAACGGCAGAGAAUUGCCAUUGCAAGAGCUCUUCUCAAGAAUGCCCCAAUCCUAAUACUUGAUGAGGCGACAAGUGCCUUGGAUGCAAUCAGUGAGCGCCUGGUUCAAGAUGCUCUGAGCCAUCUGAUGAAAGGAAGGACAACAUUAGUGAUUGCACACAAGUUAAGUACAGUUCAGAAUGCAGACCAGAUAGCUCUUUGUUCCAGUGGAAGGAUUGCAGAGCUUGGGAGUCACUUUGAGUUAUUGGCUAAGAAGGGCCAAUAUGCUUCAUUAGUUGGCACUCAGAGACUUGCUUUUGAGUGACAUGAAAUUGCAGGGUAUUCCAUUUUCUCUAAAUAACUGCAGAAUCCAAACAUGAUCUUGAGGGCGAGUUGCAUUGAAAGAGAAGAUACGGUUUGAGAAAGAACAAUGUGACACUUAAUAGAAUGUGACCCAGAGAGUGUCCCCAUUUCAUCAAGAUUAAGGCCUCUUGGUGCAAGAUUAUUCUCAAGCUAUUUGUCAUUGAGGAAAGGAGGGGGCAGGUGUUGGGAAGGCUCAUCUUUGAGUGGCACUUUCAUCGCGUGGCAAAACAUGGUUGAUUCCACCAACGUUCAGGCUGUUGCACGCAACAAAUGCAAGGACAUCUGCACAUGUAAUAGUUUGUGGUCAUUGAGCUUCAAUUCCAGCCUUUGCUCCAUCAAUCACUCUGACAGGGAUAUUCUUAUCUGAUUAGGAACAUAUAGGAAUAGAUUUUGGCUGAGAGACGAGUCUCUUUUCAGGUAUAAUUGGUACUUUGGGAUUUGAGAGCUUUAGGCCAAAUCAUGUACAUCAUUGUGUGCUUUGUAUAUUUAUUCUCUUAUUUUAUUCUUCUCAUUAUUAUUC